GACGAACGCUGGCGGCGUGCUUAACACAUGCAAGUCGAACGGUGAAGGGACCAGCUUGCUGGUUCUGGAUGAGUGGCGAACGGGUGAGUAACACGUGAGUAACCUGCCCCCUUCUUCUGGAUAACCGCAUGAAAGUGUGGCUAAUACGGGAUAUUCUGGGUCUGUCGCAUGGCGGGCCCGGGAAAGAUAUUGCUUCGGUGGGGGAUGGGCUCGCGGCCUAUCAGCUUGUUGGUGGGGUGAUGGCCUACCAAGGCGGUGACGGGUAGCCGGCCUGAGGGGGUGGACGGUCACACUGGGACGGAGACACGGCCAAGACUCCUACGGGAGGCAGCAGUGGGGAAUAUUGCACAAUGGGCGCAAGCCUGAUGCAGCGACGCCGCGUGAGGGAUGGAGGCCUUCGGGUUGUAAACCUCUUUCGCCAGUGAAGCAGGCCUGCUCCUUGUGGGUGGGUUGACGGUAGCUGGAUAAGAAGCGCCGGCUAACUACGUG
rnacentral:rRNA from 1 species